rnacentral:SRP_RNA from 2 species
AGAUCGGGCGACGGGCGGACGCCUCGCCAACCCGGUCAGGUCCGGAAGGAAGCAGCCGCAACGAGUUUCGCUCCGGGUCGUCGUUCGGUCUCCA